rnacentral:rRNA from 1 species
GAAUUACUGGGCGUAAAGCGCACGUAGGCGGCCAUUCAAGUCAGAGGUGAAAGCCCGGGGCUCAACCCCGAGAACUGCCUCUGAAACUAGAUGGCUUGAAUCUUGGAGAGGCGAGUGGAAUUCCGAGUGUAGAGGUGAAAGUCGGUAGAGUAUACGGAAGAACAACCAGGUGGCGAAAGCGAGGUCGCUGGAACGGAGUAUUGACGCUGAUGUGUCGACAGCGGUGGGGAGCAAACGAGGAUUAGAUACCCUGGUAGUCCACGCGCGUAAACGAUGAUAACUAGCUGUCCGGGUUCAUUGGAACUUGGGUGGCGCAGCUAACGCAUUAAGUUAUCCGCCUGGGGAGUACGGUCGCAAGAUUAAAACUCAAAGGAAUUGACGGGGGCCUGCACAAGCGUUGGAGCAUGUGGUUUAAUUCGAAUAAACGGUGCAGUCCUUUUACGAGCGUUUUGACAGGGCUAGUAUGAUUUCCAGAGAUGGAUUUCUUCAGUUCGGCUGGCUAGAACACAGGUGCUGCAUGGCUGUCGUCAGCUCGUUUCGUGAAAUGUUGGGUUAAGUCCCGCAACGAGCGCAACCUUCGUCUUUAGUUGCCAUCAUUCAGUUGGGCACUCUAAAGAAACCGCCGGUGAUAAGCCGGAGGAAGGUGGGGAUGACGUCAAGUCCUCAUGGCCCUUACACGCUGGG